UACGAAGGGUGCAAGCGUUACUCGGAAUUACUGGGCGUAAAGCGUGCGUAGGUGGUUCGUUAAGUCUGAUGUGAAAGCCCUGGGCUCAACCUGGGAAUGGCAUUGGAUACUGGCGACCUAGAGUGCGGUAGAGGGGUGUGGAAUUCCCGGUGUAGCAGUGAAAUGCGUAGAUAUCUGGAGGAACAUCGGUGGCGAAGGCGGCGUUCUGGACUGCAACUGACACUGAGGAACGAAAGCCAGGGGAGCAAACGGG
rnacentral:rRNA from 1 species